rnacentral:lncRNA from 1 species
UGUGUUUUUUGCCUUUUGGAUUUUUUCUGUUGGCCAUCAAAGCAAGUUUUUGUUGCUUUUUUAUUUCCUUAUUUUUAAAUCAAUCAUUUUUGAUUCUGCACUUGGGUCCUUCCCCUUUUUGUUUCACCCUGAAUCGUGACACAUCUAAUAAACACAGUGUAGGGAUUGCAAAAGUAUGUACCUGCAAAGUUGAAGUUACAGAGGUGACAAUGGUGAUAUUUAGCGAUACCUAACACUAAAUAUUAAAUCACAGUCAUGAUUAAAUGCUGUCCUGCCUCUCAUUGGUGAAGCAACAGUAUUCUUCAAAGAGAGGAAGCUCCCAUGAUGAGUGUGUAACUGUCUCUAAUUGUCGUGAAUAAUGCUGUUAUAAAUCCUUUAAGGGUAUCUCUCUUUCUCUCUCCUACUCACUCGCUCUCUCUCCAUACGUAAGUAUUCAUACAUUUUUAUACAAUAUAUUAUCUCUAUUGAGUCUAUUCUGCUGAAUUCCACUGAAUACUACUCUAAAAAAAUGGGCUUGAACCAAGAUGUUCAGCUGCAAUACUGUGAAUCAAUAAAUCUGUGUUUCAACUGCAGGGCAAGUUAUCCUUCAAGCUGUACUCCCUCUGCUGGUGAAUCUGGGAACUCCAGACUGUUACAUUUUAUGUUUUGUCAAAAGAAGACACUGGCAGUGUUACCGAGUGUUUUUUGUUGUUGUUUUUUACCCAGUUUGUCGUUUUUAAGUUGGACUGUGUGGUUUUAAUUUUAUUGUUCAGUUUGUCAAUUUGUGUUGAUAUUUGUAUAAAGAGUGUAUAUGUAUAAUGUACUUGAUGGGAUUGAAGUUUAUAGUUCAAUGUUUGCUAUAAGCUUUACAUAUAAGUGAUAUGCUUAUGUUUAAUGUUUCACAAAGUGACCGAAACUAACUACUUCACUAACAUCUGCAGGAGUCAUAUUCCUUUUCUGUGUUUCGAAGUCUUAUGAAAAAGUCUCUAACUUUCCUGCCUCUCUUUUCCUGCUCUUAACAGACACAGCUGCUGACACUCUUUCUACGUUUGGUGACGUUUUCAUUGAUCCUCACAGUGAUCUCUGUCUAAAUGCCCCUCUGGUGUUUACUAGAGGGGAAGGCUGAAAGGAAAACAUCCGUACAAACGGACCUGGACUGUUUCAGUCAUCCUACAGCUUAAGUUCUGUGUAGAAAGCUGGUUAAAUCCGUUAAAAAUGUCAGUGAAGUUCUGUUACAGUUGGCUGUUUCCUUCUGCUUGGUCUGAACAUACAUGGUCUGCACAUUUUCAAUUGGUUGUCCCACUGAGUUCUUGCAUUCCCACUCACAUACCACUCUUUACAUAAUGCAUGGUCCCCCUCUGCUGGCCACAAUAGAAACCACUCUGCCCUGUGUGAUAGUGAAUGCUUUCCUUGCACCAGCUUCCCAUGUAAGUGUGCAUUAUGUGGAAUGCAAUAAUUUAAUCUACUCUGAAUAUGCAUCCCAAACAAUGUACAAUGUUUAUUUUUCCAACAGCAUGCACAAGAUUGAUGAUGAAUAAGCCACAAAUCAUAUAGAGAGGCAACAAAAACACACGUCUCCACAGUUUCUACUUUUCCCGGUCUGCUUUUGUUACCCAGAAUAUUACACUGGGAAUCAAAUUACAGGCGCAGGGCUUUGUGAAUGAUUGAUAUAAUGCAACAGCAUGCAGUUUAAAUGACUUGGGGAUGUUUUAUUCAUGAAGGGUUAGAUAAACAAUAAAAUCUUGGCUGAAACGUGAACACCCACAGAACAAUAGAUUCAUGAGAACAGCAAGCACAUUAGAUUGUUGUGUAAUCACUCAUUCUUAGUGUUAUCGCUUGAGAAUGUAUAAAUUCUCCUGCUUUGAAUUUGGGAGUCAGCAAACUGCACGAAAAUCUCCCCUCAGUUUUGAAGAUUUUGACUCCAGAGUGAGACAUUUUUGAAAACAUCUCAUCAGCUUUUUAUGGAAUUUAAAUAAGUGCGUUUGCAUUUAUGUUGGACCUCAUUUUUCUCUCCGCCCGCUCUCAGAAUUGGACACUUUCAUUUGCACCAGUGUCUUUCACUCCCUCCAAACCAUGACAAACAGAUGCAUUAGCUCCCUAAUUGCUGAGAUUACCAAUGAGAUGCCUUAUGAGUUACCAGGGUUGCCUCCUAGAAAUGAAAGCCCCCUGCCAAUUUGCAUGGGAGGUAAUUGAAUCGCCUGCAGUGAGGGGGAGAGAGGGGACGUGCCACGCAUCACAGCCCAAUUGGCUUCUCCCCGAGUGUGGCAUGAAAAGCCAUUUUCCGAGUGUUGAAUGCCAAGGGUUUGCUCUCUCAUUCAUGUAGAGUCCACUUCUCGCAGCCGUUCCCAUCCACUCAGGGUUUCUCCGGCCUGGCUGAUGGCUGCUGAAUGGGGUUGCGUUAAGGGGCCCUCGCACUUAUGGGGAAAUGACCAAUCACUCCUUCAUCUGGAAAUCCUGAGAACAGUCACGGAAGAGGUGUGUGUGUGUGAGUGAGUUAGUGUGGAAUAAGAUGAACUAUUGCUGUUCAAUUCUCCAAAGCAGGGCUGAGAAAUGCAUUGGGACAGCACAGAGAUGUAAAUGUCAUGUGUUAUCUACAUGUGCAAAUUGAAUGUACUGAUGAGGAGGGUAGUCUCUACACAGUUGCGCACAUACACACCUUCAUCAACACACUGUAGACAUUUGAAUUCCCUGUUUUGUGAGCGUAACACACUUUACAUACAGGAAUCCCCAUAUGCCGCAGAGUCCUUCCUCAAUGUUGUUUAUCAACCGUUUCAUAUAUUGGAACAGAUUUUCCACUUAUUUCUUGCUGUCACAUCCUCUUUUUUUCAUUUGCAUGUAUUGCAUUUUUUUUUUGUCUCUGUCUUCUGUUAUUAUAUGUGGCAGAAGAAAACUAGUGCAAGGAGGAAUGGAA